GGCAGCACAUAUACUAAAGAAAAAACUUGGGACAAUACAGAGAAAAUUAGCAUGGCCUCUGCUCAAGAAUGGCAUACAAGUUUGUGAAGUGUUCCAUAUUAAA